rnacentral:rRNA from 1 species
UACGAAGGGGGCUAGCGUUGUUCGGAAUCACUGGGCGUAAAGGGAGCGUAGGCGGGUUCUUAAGUUAGGUGUUUAAUCCCGGGGCCCAACCCCGGACCGGCACUUAAACUAGGAAUCUUGAAUAGUGGAGAGGUCGGUGGAAUUGGAGGUGUAGCGGUGGAAUGCGUAGAGAUCUCCAAGAACACCAGUUGCGAAGGCGGCCGACUGGACACAUAUUGACGCUGAGGCUCGAAAGCAUGGGGAGCAAACAGG